rnacentral:rRNA from 1 species
UACGUAGGGUGCGAGCGUUGUCCGGAAUUACUGGGCGUAAAGAGCUCGUAGGUGGUUUGUCGCGUUGUUCGUGAAAACUCACAGCUCAACUGUGGGCGUGCGGGCGAUACGGGCAGACUGGAGUACUGCAGGGGAGACUGGAAUUUCUGGUGUAGCGGUGGAAUGCGCAGAUAUCAGGAGGAACACCGGUGGCGAAGGCGGGUCUCUGGGCAGUAACUGACGCUGAGGAGCGAAAGCGUGGGGAGCGAACAGG